rnacentral:rRNA from 1 species
GACGAACGCUGGCGGUGUGCUUAACACAUGCAAGUCGAACGGUAAGGCCCUUUCGGGGGUACACGAGUGGCGAACGGGUGAGUAACACGUGAGUAACCUGCCCUCAUCUCUGGGAUAACAGUCGGAAACGGUUUCUAAUACUGGAUAUGAGCUUGCAAUGCAUCUUUUGGGUUGUAAAGAUUUUUUUGGUUGGGGAUGUACUCGCGGCCUAUCUGCUUUUUGGUGAGGUAGUGGCUCACCAAGGCUUCGACGGGUAGCCGGCCUGAGAGGGCGACAGGCCACAUUGGGACUGAGAUACGGCCCAAACUCCUACGGGAGGAAGCAGUGGGGAAUAUUGCAAAAUGGACGGAAGUCUGAUGCAGCAACGCCGCGUGCGGGAUGACGGCCUUCGGGUUGUAAACCGCUUUCAAUUGUGACGAAGCUUUUUGUGACGGUAGCAGUAGAAGAAGCACCGGCUAACUACGUG